UAUUACCACCAUUCUAAUUAUCCUUCUGAUUAUACCAAAGACAAGGUCCUGGUUUGGAACUAGAUCUUUAACACUGUUCUAACAUUUGCUUAUUGCUAUUAUUACUGUUUAAUAAGUAUAGGUCAAGAGCCUUGGGCUGGUUUAGGUGAUACAGAGGCUGAAUUCCAAACUGGUGGCGCUGUGACUGAAUCCAGCCUGCAGAUACGAUUUUCACUAUGCCAUAUUUAUAUUUAUAUAUAUUUUGGGCCAACAUUUAGCAACUCCAGAAAUUUUGCCUAAAACCCCAGAUUCCAAGCUUCUAUUAAAUAAUCAAAAUAUGCUCAAAUUCCUUCAUGGCAGAAUCUGACUCUAUUCUUUAAACAGGACACAUGCUCUGGGGCCCUGGGCGGCUCAGUUGAUUAAGCGUCUGACUUUGGCUCAGGUCAUGAUCUUGCACUGGCCCUGAACAAACGGAGGUGAGCCAAACAGAGACCCUAUGCUGAUGGAACUUACAUCCUGCUGGAGAAGACAGACAUUACACAUAGACUGAUCGUGGUCAGUUACCAAGAGAAACAAAGCAGGAUCCCUGUGGAAUAGCUGUUGAUUUUAGAGGAGGGUGAGUUUGUCAAUGUUGAAAGAAGACCCACUUGGGAAGAAAACUUGAUUUUGUGUUUCCAGUCUAUGACAGGAAAAUGUUGACCUCUCCAGACCUCAAGGAUAUAUGU